AGUCGAACGGAGUCUUUAGCUUUUUCGAAGACUUAGUGGCGAAAGGGUGAGUAACACGUGAGAAUUUGCCCUAGGGUGGGGGAUAACUUGUCGAAAGAUAAGCUAAUACCGCAUACGUUUUUAUAUUAUAGUGAUGUAAAAGGAAAGGUAGGGACCUUCGGGCCUGCCGCCCCUGGAUGAGCUCGCGGCCUAUCAGCUUGUUGGUGAGGUAAAAGCUUACCAAGGCUAAGACGGGUAGCUGGUCUGAGAGGAUGGUCAGCCACACUGGGACUGAGACACUGCCCAGACACCUACGGGUGGCUGCAGUCGAGAAUCUUUCGCAAUGGGGGAAACCCUGACGAAGCGACGCCGCGUGCAGGAUGAAGGCCUUAGGGUUGUAAACUGCUGUCAGCAGGGAAGAAUGGUUUUUAGUUAAUAGCUAGAAAUCUUGACGGUACCUGCAGAGGAAGGCACGGCUAACUCUGUGCCAGCAGCCGCGGUAAUACAGAGGUGCCAAGCGUUGUUCGGAUUCAUUGGGCGUAAAGCGUUCGUAGGCGGCCCGUAAAGUCAGAUGUGAAAGCCCAUGGCUCAACCAUGGAACUGCAUUUGAAACUCACGGGCUCGAGGACGAGAGGGGUAGAGGGAAUUCCUAGUGUAAGGGUGAAAUCUGCAGAUAUUAGGAAGAACACCAGUCGCGAAGGCGCUCUACUGGCUCGUAUCUGACGCUGAGGGACGAAAGCUAGGGUAGCAAACGGGAUUAGAUACCCCGGUAGUCCUAGCCGUAAACGAUGUUCACUAGGUGUUGGGGGGGUAAACCCUUCGGUGCCGCAGCUAACGCAUUAAGUGAACCGCCUGGGGAGUACGGUCGCAAGGUCGAAACUCAAAGGAAUUGACGGGGACCCGCACAAACGG
rnacentral:rRNA from 1 species